rnacentral:rRNA from 1 species
UGGGGAAUAUUGCACAAUGGGCGCAAGCCUGAUGCAGCCAUGCCGCGUGUAUGAAGAAGGCCUUCGGGUUGUAAAGUACUUUCAGCGGGGAGGAAGGGAGUAAAGUUAAUACCUUUGCUCAUUGACGUUACCUGCAGAAGAAGCACCGGCUAACUCCGUGCCAGCAGCCGCGGUAAUACGGAGGGUGCAAGCGUUAAUCGGAAUUACUGGGCGUAAAGCGCACGCAGGCGGUUUGUUAAGUCAGAUGUGAAAUCCCCGGGCUCAACCUGGGAACUGCAUCUGAUACUGGCAAGCUUGAGUCUCGUAGAGGGGGGUAGAAUUCCAGGUGUAGCGGUGAAAUGCGUAGAGAUCUGGAGGAAUACCGGUGGCGAAGGCGGCCCCCUGGACGAAGACUGACGCUCAGGUGCGAAAGCGUGGGGAGCAAACAGG